AGAGCGAACGCUGGCGGCGUGCUUAACACAUGCAAGUCGAACGCGCAGCAUUCUGUAGCAAUACAGGGUGUGGGCGCGUGGCGAACGGGUGCGUAACACGUGGAUAACCUUCCUUGAGGUGGGGAAUAACCCAGUGAAAAUUGGGCUAAUACCGCAUAACAUCGCGAUGGCACAUGCUGAUGCGAUCAAAGGCGCAAGUCGCCACAAGAGGGAUCCGCGGCCGAUUAGCUUGUUGGCGAGGUAAUGGCUCACCAAGGCAAUGAUCAGUA
rnacentral:rRNA from 1 species